UACGGAGGAUCCAAGCGUCAUCCGGAAUCAUUGGGUUUAAAGGGUCCGUAGGCGGGAGAAUAAGUCAGUGGUGAAAGCCUGCAGCUCAACUGCAGAACUGCCAUUGAAACUGCUUUCCUUGAGUCAUUAUGAAGUGGUUAGAAUAUGUAGUGUAGCGGUGAAAUGCAUAGAUAUUACAUAGAAUACCGAUUGCGAAGGCAGAUCACUAAUAAUAUACUGACGCUGAGGGACGAAAGCGGAGGUAGCGAACAGG
rnacentral:misc_RNA from 1 species